CGCCCACUGUUUUCUAGAUGGUGCACAGUACUGACAGUAUAUACAACAGUGCUAGUCUAGUGCAGUACAGUGCCAUCAGCAAAUCAAGAAUGUUUAUGACCAGAAGCUCAAUUCGCCUGGGAUGGCAAACUCUAUCCAACUCUUCUUAAGGCCACUAAAAGAUUGAUCAGCUUACCAGGAGGUGACAGGCAGCGUACAAAGUAUGACCACCAGUACCUUGAUGUUGAGGAAAAGAGACUUUGUAGUUUACAUUGCAAACAUUGAUUAUUAUUAAUUUAUUGUACAUACAUGUAGGCUUAAUUAUAUAAUUAUACUAUACAUUCA